GACGCCAGGAGCUCGUCGAAGCUUGUUUCUCCGGAAGCAGCAACUUCGAACAUCUCUUGAGAGAUGUGAUCAACCCACCAGGUGAAUUCAAGACGCACGAAAGAUUUUCGAAGAUGGGUUGUUGUUAUUCUGGCCUCGAACGCGCUAGAGUGAUGGUUUUAUCCGGGAGAGUUUGUGGAUUUCGGGGAGUUCAUGGAGAACCAGUUAGGGCUUUGAAGGGAAGAAGUUCACUGGGUUGGGUUGGAGCUGUUCGUGGGAGGAAGGGUGCUGUUCGCGGCAGGAAGUCGUUUGGAUUCACAGCUUGUAAGUUAUGUGAAGCGUGCGCGGAAUGUGGUGAGGAUUGGUCCAAAGGCUGGAGAAGCCUUGGGUGGAGCGUGUGGGUUUUAGCUGCAAAGAGCGGAUGGUUUUAGAGGAGGACUAGCAUGUGAUGGCAAAAAGGGUGUGACAUGGCUGAUUGGGCGCGAUUUUCGUUCAAGCAGGCCACCGUGGUCAUUUGUGCUUGCAAUUUGAUGGUGGCGGUAUGCAUUUCUCAGUGUUUGCUCCUGUCCUACUACGUGCCUGCCAUGAAGUUACCUCUCAUGUACACUCGCCAAGCUGAUGGUAGGAAAGCUAAUUCUUGCGCAGCAGCGUCUUAUUCUACUUUUAGGUGCAGUCUUUUCUUUUCAUGGUGAGAGCCCCAUUGUAAAGCUUGGAGUCUCUUUUGGCGUUGAUCUGCAGUGCUCUCCGUUGACGUUGAAGUAAUUUGGGCUGUAUGUGUCCUUUGCACUUCAAACUCCAGAUGAGAUAGUUGUAGGGAAUUUGAAAGAGUGUUGGCAGUUUUCUUGUCUACAUAUUUCUGAUGGAAUAGCUUGAGCUCGGUGACGAAGCUCGGUUUCAUGUAAUUUGGGGGAACUGAUACUGAGGGCUUUGCUGUUGAUGGUUUAUGUAGUUUCGCAAUUUGAGGGGCUGUAGGUUUUAGGUACCCAUCUUCCAACCACUCUGAACGCGCAGGAGCGGCUGGAGGUAGUUCGAGAUGCGAUUUAGACACGACUUGCGGCAAAUCCUGUUUUACUAAUUGCGAGAGUGAAAGAAAUAGAACAAGAGGCUUUAUCAGCGUUGGUGAUUGCCAGUGAUAAGACAUCACAGAGGCAACAAACUGAGAUUUCCAAACGCAUCACUGGACUUAGGUUCCAAGGAUUAGACAAAUAGAGGAAGAUUAAGCUUAAGUAUGCACAGAGCCGCGAAGCAGCUUUACUGGAGACUGAAUGGACCUCGCAAGUAAAAGGUGCUCUUAAAAAAACAUCAUAUUGCUGCCAAUUUGAUUAACUAGCUUAAGUUCAUGGGUUCUAAAUUAUACACAAAUGGCUGUUUAAUGUUUUAAUGCCCCUGUGUUAUUUGUAAAAAAUUCCAAAUUGGGAUUAUACCGUAUCAAAGCGGUGCUAUACUGAAAUGACUGAGAAGUUACAUGAGUUCAUUUGUAGUUUGUUGCAUCGGUAGGCUUGUAUAUGUAGAUUUAGGAGCACACGCUUCUCCUGCAGUAGUUUUUUUGAGGAGUUGCUGUGCAUCCAUUUGGUAAUGAUUGGGUUAGGAGUCAGAACCUGUUUGAUCAAGGCACUUCAAGCUUGAAUUGACAUUCAUGUAGACAAUGUUACUCCGGAGGCAGAGUUGAUGCCUGAUGAGGUGGUUAACGUUCUAGACCAAAGUAAAGGCAGUGGAAAGGUGCAAGAUGGACCGGAGAUCGAAGAUGGAAUUAUUCCUGGAAGACCUGUACCUGAAGUAUCCCACGUAGAGGCGCACACAGACUAUGGUCGGUACGCUGGGGUCUGACUCGUCAUGUGGAAAGUGCAGCAGAUUGCUGUGAAGUAUGCCUGAAGCAAGUCCGGGCAGCCAAAAGCAAUGAGAAAAAGUGCAAUGUAUGGGUGUUCUGCCCAGCUGAGGGGGGGCUGCUUCUCUCCUGAUGUUUAUGAGCACAAGCACCAGGAAUGCUGGCUUAAGCAUGCAAAUAACAGGCUUGUUGGUUUCGUCUGGCAGAUUUGUUCAUUGAUUCGUCCCAGUGACAUAUUCUCGCACUUAUAUCGCUCUUUGUAUGACGAAGAUCUGAGCCAUUUUAUGUCAUUUUGUAUGCAGGCAGAUGAGCCUAAUUUAAACUUCAAAGUUCAUUAUGAUGAAGAAUACAGGCGAGAGCAUCCCACUGCUCCUGUGACAGUGCCUUGGGUUUCUGGAAUAAUUCAAGCGUAACAUUUACGUUCUCGAAUUUCAACACGAAUUGCUAUUCCCUGGGCAAACAUUUUUCAAUUUCUGGACAAAGACGAGGGAUAUGUAAGCACGUAAUGCACGCGACAGAAUCUGUGGAAUUAGAGUAGGUCUGAGUGUUCACUCAGGUUCAAGCUGUUCCAGAAAGAGUUACAAGAACCAGGAACGUUGUAGGCAUUUACUCUUUCACGGCUGUUGCUUCUUUUCAAUUUUGUCUCCACACUAGAGGCCAUGUGUUUAACUAUCCUCUUCCUGUGAAGUCUACAGGGAUGUUUUGGUUUUAACAUGGGUAGUUGCUAGGUUCCUGCUUCUGGAGAAACGAAUUUUCUUACGAGGAUUGUUUGUGAGCUUAGAUCCAGAAACAUACUGGUCCUCAAAUGUAAAGAUAUUUGGCACCCUGAUGCAUCCGAUGACCUAUCCAUCAUCUACAUUUUUUUGGAGUAGGUCAUCAUGCAUAGCCUUGGUUAAUGACAUUCGCUACUUAAGCAAUCAGCGGACCCCAUUUUUCACUACA